ACAUGUAUAUAUUUCAUUUUCUUGUUUUAUUGCACUAGCUAUGACCUUCACUGCAAUGUUGAAUAGAAGUGGCAAGAAAGGAUAUCCUUGUUGUGUUCCUGAUCUCGGGAGAAAGGCAUCCAGUCUCUUACCAUCCAAAUGUUUCAACCUUGUUUCUUCCAUGGACAACUUUCUAUAGUUCAUAUUUGUUGAGCCCUCAGUAUGUGCCAGGGACUAGCUGUACUCUUCCUGCUUUCCCACCUUGCUCUCUGUCCCCGAGGGGCUGAACUAUAGACCUGUAUGGACUAGUCCAUGGGAUUCCUAACUCUGGCUGCUGAUGGUGCUCUGCCAAUAAGGAGUCCUGGCAAGAGAUCACAGAUGGAUCAGAGAUGGCAAUGGGACAUGGAACAGGAGGAGGAACAGCAGGCAAGAACCUGGGAGCAGUUCUACAGAGCAGGAGGAGCUUCCAUUGCAACUUCUACAGAAAGUUCAGGAAAAUAACGACUUUCAGCAUUAUAGAAUUUCAAGUUAGAAGUGAUCAUUUUCAACUGAUGAAUCUCAUUGAGG
rnacentral:lncRNA from 1 species